AAGGUAAUGCUAAAGAAACCUUACAUUGUCACCAAUCAAAUGCAGAGCUGGCUAGCUAUGAUUUGAGACAGUCAUUUGCAGCCACGGGACAAAGAGAGAGCAAGACAAGGUGUACCCUGCCGGCUGUCUCCUUGUACGUAGGUCACUUGAUAACUACUCAACGCUGCACAGCACAGGAUUCAGCAUUCAAUCACUCUCAUAAUUUUAUUGUCAUUUCAUCUUUUAUGGGGGACGCCCCACUCUUAAUUUUUAUCACUGAAUGGCUGCUGACGUACGUAUAUAUAAGAGCACUACAAGAUACGACAGGAAAGGCCCAGCUUUCUGAUCGAGGAGGAGAUGAUCUGCUAUUGGCUCUGAGUGAUGGAGUGGAUCUACCUCUGAGAGACAAAGGGCCAGUUACUGUAUCAUAUAUGAAUAUUCUGUUUCUUGUACUUUUCGUAGUAAUUGACUGUAGAGUAGCAUCUUGAGCUCCCCUUUUUUCAUCAAUCUGCAGGCAGUGUAUGUGAUUUCUGACAGGAAAGGCUACUCUAAACAGAGGGAGUCGGCCACACAAGGUAUAGUCUAAUAAUUAUUGUACGGUACUUAGAUGAUCUUCUCUAUUUGGGGUCAGAUGCAAUUGCCUUGAAUCACUAGCCAGUUUAAACAUUUCUUCUACUCUUGGCUUAAGAAAUUGUAUUUUAUUGUUGUACCAGCAUUAGGUAGUUAACUCCACUUAUGCAUUGACCUCUACUACUGUGUAGCGUGAAAGUUCAUUAUUUGAGCCCUCGAGAAAUGUUGUAUAGUUGUUCACAUUUCAAUGCCAGGAAACCAUAGCUUUGCAUGGUGCGUGGGAGUGUCUUCCAUUUAUAUUACAUGAAGUGUGAAGUGUGUUGUAAGUUUGUACAGAGAGGACUCCCAUGGUGGCAAUGAUCUGAUGAUGGCUCCACUGCUCUGAUGGACCAAUGCAGGAGAAGUUAUUCUGUAUAAUUAUCACACUAAAUUAAUGUAUGCCACUGUUUGGAUCGGUUUCUGUUCUGCUCAGCUUCUUCCUCCAACUUGCUUACGCAGGCUAAGCUUAUUCUUAAUUAGUUCAUUCUUAGUUCAUUCUAUAGUCUAGUAUUAUUGUCGGUUUGGUUGUUUUAUGUUUUUCACCUGGUCAUACGGAAUCACUUCAUUAAUUUUUAUACAGUGCAGACCACACCUCUAUCCACACAUUUUACCUGCACAUCCUGUAUAUAUGGGGCCACACCCCCACUCACUGUACUGAUAUGUGGUCACACCCCCAUACAUGGUAACCCUCUUGACCACACCUCCACUCAUGCAUUGUGUCGUACAUGCUGUGUUUUUGUGUACAGUACACACAUCAUCCGUGUCUUUGUCCCCACACCUAGUCGGAGGGAGCAGCAAGUUCUACUAAGAGCCAGCAUCACCAACUAACCAACACACUACAAAACCUACCUACUACCAGCUAGGACAGCACACCACCCGGGACAGACUCUACUAUACCAUGUAAUACGCCUUUGUAUUACGAUCAUGAUACAAUUUGCUGCCCUCCCUCGCCCAUGGAUUGAAUAAUUAUGGACACUCGCAGGAGACUGACACACAGUAAUAGACACCAAAGGGCCAGUUACUGUAUCAUGUACGAAUAUUCUGUUGCUUGUACAUUUCGUAACAUUAUCAGUAAUUGACUGUAGAGUAGCUCCCCUUUCUUCAUCACUCAAUGCAGGUAGUGUAUGUGAUUUUCUGACAGGAAAGGCUACUCUAAACAGAGGGAGUCGGCCACACAAGGUAUAGUCUAAUAAUUAUUGUACGGUACUUAGAUGAUCUUCUCUGUUUUGGGUCAGAUGCAAUUGCCUUGAAUCACUAGCCAGUUAAAACAUUUCUUCUACUCUUGGCUUAAGAAAUUGUAUUUUAUUGUUGUACCAGCAUUAGGUAGUUAACUCCACUUAUGCAUUGACCUCUACUACUGUGUAGCGGGAAAGUUCAUUAUUUGAGCCCUCGAGAAAUGUUGUAUAGUUGUUCUCAUUUCAAUGCCAGGAAACCAUAGCUUUGCAUGGUGCGUGGGAGUGUCUUCUAUUUUUAUUACAUGAAGUGUGAAGUGUGUUGUAAGUUUGUACAGACCCAUGGUCUGAUGAUGGCUCCACUGCUCUGAUGGACCAAUGCAGGAGAAGUUAUUCUGUAUAAUUAUUACACUAAAUUAAUGUAUGCCACUGUUUGGAUCGGUUUCUGUUCUGCUCAGCUUCUUCCUCCAACUUGCUUACGCAGGCUAAGCUUAUUCUUAGUUCAUUCUUAGUUCAUUCUAUAGUCUAGUAUAAUUAUUGUCGGUUUGGUUGUUUUAUGUUUUUCACCUGGUCAUACGGAAUCACUUCAUUAUUAUCAGUGCAGACCAUACCUCUAUCCACACAUUGUACCUGCACAUCCUGUAUAUAUGGGGCCACACCCCCACUCACUGUACUGAUAUGUGGUCACACCCCCAUACAUGGUAACCCUCUUGACCACACCUCCACCCAUGCAUUGUGUCGUACAUGCUGUGUUUUUGUGUACAGUACACACAUCAUCCGUGUCUUUGUCCCCACACCUAGUCGGAGGGAGCAGCAAGUUCUACUAAGAGCCAGCAUCACCAACUAACCAACACACUACAAGACCUACCUACUACCAGCUAGGACAGCACACCACCCGGGACUUAAUACGCCUUUGUAUUACGAUCAUGAUACAAUUUGCUGCCCUCCCUCGCCCAUGGAUUGAAUGAUUAUGGACACUCGCAGGACAACUAUGAGACUGACACACAAUAAUAGACACCAAAGGCAGUGUAUGUUAUUUUCUGACCGGAAAGGCUACUCUAAACAGAGGGAGUCGGCCACACAAGUCGGAGGGAGCAGCAAGUUCUACUAAGAGCCAGCAUCACCCACUAGCCAACACACUACAAGACUUACCUACUACCAGCUAGGACAGCACACCACCUGGGACAGACUCUACUAUACCAUGUGAUACAAUUUACUGCCCUCCCUUGCCCAUGGAUUGAAUAAUUAUGGACACUCGCAGGACAACUAAGAGACUGACACACAAUAAUAGACACCAAAGGCAGUGUAUGUGAUUUUCUGACAGGAAAGGCUACUCUAAACAAAGGGAGUCGGCCACACAAGUCGGAGGGAGCAGCAAGUUCUACUAAGAGCCAGCAUCACCAACUAACCAACACUACAAGACCUACCUACUACCAGCUAGGACAGCACACCACCCGGGACAGACUCUACUAUACCAUGUAAUACGCCUUUUUAUUACGAUCAUGAUACAAUUUGCUGCCCUCCCUUGCCCAUGGAUUGAAUAAUUAUGGACACUCGCAGGACAACUAAGAGACUGACACACAAUAAUAGACACCUAACUGCAUUUUUGCCAUUAAUAUAAUAAAAAUAAUUUUGCCAUUAA